GAGAGAGAGAGAGAGAGAGAGAGAGAGAGAGAGAGAGAGAGAGAGAGAGAGAGAGAGAGAGAGAGAGAGAGAGCUUUAUUAUGUUAUUCUUUAGACAUGGCCAGGUGAUGAAAGACAUGAGGAUGGACCUUUCCUUUUUUUUUUUUUUGGUGGAAAAAAAGUAGUUCUUCCACUUUCCUUCCUUUCUCAUAAAGUUGUUAUAAUUUCCAAUCAUCUCUUUGUACUGUGAAUCAAACACUGUGUUAGCACAGAAUGAAGAAUUACAAGAAUUUUAAAAGGGGGUUCUUUCUGUCAACAGAUAAAAUCGGUCUUAUUGUCUUGGUGUUGCUUUAAUUCACAGCAGUCGUCCCACAGUCUGUGCCUGCGUCCAAAACGGCGCCCUAUUCCCUUUUGUAGCGGAGGCACCCGGUCCAAAGUAGUGUACUAUAUAGGAAAUAGGAUGCAUGGUUUGGGAUGCAUGGUUUGUCAUAUUGUCUUUUAGUGGUGUGGCUUUAAUUCACGGUAGAGAGCAGUCCCUCAGCCAGUGUGACAUCAUCUCCUUAGAAACGGUUCGGUCGACGUUGAUCCUUCUCCAAACAAAUAGAGAGAUGGAUUGAUUAAAGCCACAUGACUUUAACUAGCAUGAGCAGAGAAAGGAGAUGAUUAGCUCACCAAUUUCCAAUACAAAUAGAAGCCCCUCCCCCUACACGUCCCCCCCCCGUCUCUUGUCUGUAUCAGAAUUUAAUGGACAUUACGUAGUUUUAUUCCAAUACAAAGAUAUAAACAGCCUUGAGAUUUAGCCUAGCAAUCAAUAUUUAAAUGGCCCAGUGCCGUGUGUACAAAUUUGGUAGAACACAUUCUGGGGGCAUUCUGGGAAAUAAAAACCCUGGAGUUCAGUGGAGGGAGAUGCUGAACUUGCUAAGGACAAGCCCUAAGGACUAGCCCUAAAGCCGUAAGGACUAGCCCUAAAGCCUUAAGGACUAGACUUAAGGACUAGCCCUAAACCCUAAGGACUAGCCCUAAGCCCUAAGGACUAGCCCUAAAGCCCUAAGGACUAGCCCUAAGCCCUAAGGACUAGCCCUAAAGCCCUAAGGACUAGCCCUAAAGCCUUAAGGACUAGCCUUAAGGACUAGCCCUAAGCCCUAAGGACUAGCCCUAAAGCCCUAAGGACUAGCCCUAAAGCCUUAAGGACUAGCCCUAAGCCCUAAGGACUAGCCCUAAGCCCUAAGGACUAGCCCUAAGCCCUAAGGACUAGCCCUAAAGCCUUAAGGACUAGCCCUAAAGCCU
rnacentral:lncRNA from 1 species